rnacentral:lncRNA from 1 species
AAUAGAAAAACAAUGAGGAAAAAAAAUCAAUGAAACCAAGAGUUUGUUUUUUGAAAAAAUUAACAAAACUGACAAAUCGUUAGCUAGAUUACAUAAGAAAAAAAAGAGAUAAUCAAAUAACUAAAAUUAGAAACGAAAGGGGACAUUAUAAUUGAUGUCACAGAAAUAAAGAUUAUAAAAGACUUACAUGACCACACAUAUGGCAACAGAUUAGAUAACCUAGAAGAAAUGAAUACAUUCCAAACAUAUAAUCUACCAAGACUGAAUCAUGAAUAAAAAAUCUCAACAGCCCUAUAACAAAUAAGAAGAUGAAACAGUAAUCAAAAACUUCCCAACAAAGAAAAGCCCAGUACCAGAUGGCUUCACUUGAAAAUUCUACCAAAUAAUCAAAGAAGAAUUAACUCUUCAAACUCUUACCAAAAAAUGAGGGGCAGGGAACACUUCCAGAAUCAUUCUAUGAAGCCAGCAUUUCUCUGAUACAAAAACUAGAAGACAGAACAAGAGGACUACAGAACAAUACCCGUGAUAAAGACUGAUGCAAAAAAUCCCCCCAAAAAUACUGGCAAACUCAAUUCAAUAGCACUUUUUUUUUUUAAGAGAGGGUCUCAUUUUGUUGCCCACACUGGAGUGCAGUGGCAUGACAAUGGCUCACUGCAGCCUCAACCUCCCAGGCUCAAGUGAUCCUCCCACCUCAGCACACCCACCCUCCUCCUUAAUACCCCACAACCCCUGCCCCAAGUAGCUAGUACUACAACUGUGUGCCUCCACACCUGGCUAAUUUUAAAAUUUCUUCUAGAGACAAGGUUUUACCAUAUUGUCCAGGAUGGUCUUAAACUCCUGGCCGCAAGCGAUUCUCCUGCAUUGGCCUCCCAAAGUGCUGGGAUUACAGGCAGGAGCCACCAUGCCUGACCCAACAGCACAUUAAAAGGAUUACACACAAUAAGCAAAUGGGAUUUAUACUUGAAAUGCAAGGAUGUUUCCAAAUAUGAAAACAAAUCAUUGUACUACACUAUAUUAACAAAAUGAAGGGCAAAAAACACAUUAUCAUCUCAAUUGAUGUGCAAAAAGCAUUUGACAAAAUUCAACACACUUUCCUGAUAAAAACACAUAACAAACUAGAAAUAGAAAGAAAACACCUCAAUAUAAUAAAAGCAAUACACACAAAGCCAACAGCUAACAGCACAUAUACUGGUGAAAGACUAAAAACUUUUCCUCUAAGAUCAGGAGGAACAAGGCAAGGAUGCCCAAUAUUAUCAAUAUUCAAGAUAGUAUUAGAAGUCCUAGUCAGAGCAAUUAAGACAAGAAAAGGAAAUAAAAGGCAUAGAAAUUGGAAAAGAAGUAGAAUUAUGCUCACAAAUGGCAUAAUCUUAUAGUAGAUAACCCAAAAGAUUCCACAGAAAAACUAUUACAACUAAUAAAUGAUUUCAGCAAGUUGCAGGAUACAAAAAUUGGUUAUGUUUUCAUGCAGUAACCAUGACCAAUCAAAAAAGGAAAUUAUGAAAACAAUCCCAUUUACUAUAGCAUCAAAAAGGAUAAACUACCACAGAGUAAACUUAACCAAAGAGGUGAGAAUAAUGUCAAAAUACAAAACAUUGUUAAAAGAAAUGAAAAAAAGAUACCAAUAAAUGGAAGGGCAUUCCAUUCUCAUGGAUUUAAAAGCUUAAAAUAUUGUUAAAAUGUCCAAACUAUCCAAAGUGAUCUACAGAUUCAAUGCCAUUCCUACCAAAAUCCCAAUGGUAUUUUUUGCAGAAAUACAAAAAAAAAUCUAAAAUUCAUAUGGAAUCUCAAGAGGACCCAUAGAGCUAAAUCAGUCUUUAAUCAGAAGAAUAAAGCUAAAGGCCUCACACCUCCUGAUUUCAAAACCUGAUUUUACUACAGAACAACAGAAAUCUAAAACAGUGUGGCACUGGCAUACAGACAGAAGAGAGAGCACAGAAAUAAACCCUUACAUAAAAGGCCAAAUGAUUUUUCACAAGAAUGCCAAGACUACACAGUGGGGAAAGGACAGUCUCUUCAACAAAUGGUGCUGGGAAAACUGGAUAACAAGCAAAAGAAUGAAGUUGGACUCUCAUGCCACAUACAAAAAUUAACAUAGAUUAAAGACCUAAAAGUAAUACCUAAAACUCUGAAACUCCUAGAAGGAAACAUAAAGGAAAACCUUUGAGACACUGGAUUUGGCAAUGAUUUCAUGGAUAUGGCACCAAAAUCACAGGCAACAAAAGCAAAAAUAGACAAACAGGACACCAAACUUAAGAAUUUCUGUGCACCAAAGAAAACAACUGACAGAGUGAAAAGGCAGCGUAUGGAAUGGAGAAAAUAUCUGUAAACCAUCAAAUGGUUAAUAUCCAAAAUAGAUAAGGAGCUUCUAUAACUCGACAAUAACAAAAUAACCCCAUUCAAAUGGAUAAAGGAUUUCAAUAGACAAUUCUCCAAAUAAGAUAUGCAAAUGGUCAACAGCAUAUGAAAAGAUAAUCAACAUUACUAAUAAGAGAAAUGAAAAUCAAAACCACAAUAAGAUAUCACCUCACACCUAUUAAGACAGCCAUCAGAAAAUAACUGUUGGUAAGGAUGUGGAGAAACUGGAACAUUUCUACACUGUUGGUGAGAAUAUAAAAUGCUAGAAAAAUGCUACAGCCAUUAUGGAAAUAGUGUGGAGGUUCCUCAAAAAAUUAAAAAUAGAAUUACUAUAUGAUCCAGCAAUCCCACUUUUGGGUAUAUAUCCAAAAGAAUUCAAAGCAAAAUCUCAAAGAGAUAUUUGCACACCCAUGUUCAUCACGGUAUUAUUCAUAAUAGCCAAAAGGCGAGGCAACCCAAAUGUUCACUGGUGUAUGAAUGGAUUUUUAAAAUGCGUAUAUAGAUACAAUGGAGUAUUAUGCAGCCUCAAAAAACAUGGAAAUCUUGUCAUGUGCUAUAACAUGGAUGAACCUCAAGGAUAUUAUGCUAAACAAAAUAAGCCAGUCACAAAGGACAAAUACUGUAUGAUUACAAUCAUAUAAAGUAUCCACAGUAAUCAAAAUCAUAGAAACAGAAAGUAGAAAGGUGGUUAACCAAGGGCUGGGGGGAGAGGGAAUUAGUGUUUAGUAGAUAUAGUUUCAGUUUGGGAAAAUGAAAUACUUCUAGAGAUCUGUUGCUUAACAAUGUAAAUAUAUUUAACACUACCGAACUCUACACUUAAUGGCUAAGACAGUAAAUUUAAUGUUGUAUUUUUUUACAACAAAAAAAAUUGAACAUGUGAAAUGUAGAUGACUUUGUCUAAUAUUAUUUGUAAUUUUCUCUAGGAAGAACAUAGAAAUACUGUAAAAUAAGUGUGAUGAAUGUGUGACAAUACACUUUUUUCUAAAUAUCAUAUGACAACUAUUGAGGAAAGAAAAAGAUAUACCAUUCUAUUUAAAGUCAGGAAAAGCCUUAAGGGAUACACAUUAUUUAUAGAAUACAAUGGAAGUCAUUUGCAGAUAUUUCAAAUCAACUGCCAAUUAUAAUAUCAAACAACUUAUAAAACCUAGGGCAUGGUGCCAUAGGCCUGUCGUCCCAGCUACUCUGGAGUCUGAGACCGGAGGAUCAAUCCCCUGAGCCCAGGAAUUUGAGACCAGCCUGGGUGAUAGCAAGCCUCCAUCACAAAAAUAAAUAAAUAAAUAAAUAGAUAAAAAACAAACAAAAAUCCUUAAUAUAAACCCUUAAACUUGGACGUUUCAAUGAGUAAAUAAGUCUAUAAUUACUAUACUAAAAAUAAUUGGUGUUAAUCUUUUAUUGCUCUAGUUUUUAUAGAAAAUUUAUAUUAGUAAAGAUAAUCAAGUAUGUUUAAAUUAGUAGUUUAUCAAAAUGGCACUGUUUAGUGGGCAUUACAAAGGAGUAUAUAUAAAACAUGAGCCCAUUUUUGUCAGAAAAAAAUUAUGCAUAAUAUAUGCAUGCAUAGGAAAAAAUGUGAAAUAUGCCCAACAGAAUAUCAAUAAAAAUUAUCUAUAGAGUAGAAAUACAUGCCACUUUUAUCUUUUCUACACCUUUUCUAAAUUUCUACAAUGAAUGCAUAAAGAAAUAUGUUAAAGGCUUAUUAACCCAAGUAUGUGAAAACAUAAUUAAGCUAGAAUAAAACUGAAGGUUUCUUUUCCUAGAGGCAAUGUUUACACCUAUUUAUUACUUCUGCAACCCCAACUUUCUCACUAGAGGCUAUGCAAAAACAAAAUCAAAAUACACAAAUAAGAUUGGCAGCCUUGGCAGAGUAGAAAGUAGAAAUUAACACUAGAAUCCAAUUUGUCUUUUACGUUCCCAUUCUCAACAAAUGGUAAUUUACAUUGCUCACUGGCUCACUAGUGGCAAACACAGGAGGUUCUCCCCUGAGACUUUUAUAUGUUUUUGUAACAGAAACCUGAAAUAAUAGUCUCUUUCAACUCCUGUUUGUCAGCAGAAAGUUGUCCCCUGAGCAAUGUCCAGGUCACUAAAAAUCAAAAUCUGGGGUAAGGGGAGAGAGGGCAACUUACCCAGUUAAUAUGAUGAUCCCAUCCCUAGAACAGGUAUGCAUAUUUAAUACAAACCACCUUUGGCCUUAGAAGAGAGAAGCUAAAUGAGAAACCUAUUCUGCACCUUCUCCCUUGCUGUUAUCAUCACUAUCUCUAUCUCUUAAAAAAAAUGUCACCCUGGGUAGCUCUUCAAUUUUAACACUCUUGCUGACAAUAUUCAGAAAAGAGAACAGCAAAUUGCCUUGAACAACCACAAACUAGCAAACUCCUAUCUGCAUGUUUAUAAAAGCACCUCAACUUUACAGAUCAUAAAAGAGAGUGAUGUAUAUCUGACACAUGCAGGCUAACAGAAUUAUACUCACUUUAGACCCAGAAGAGUCUUUUGAUUUUACCUCUUUUUAUUCUUAUAUGUUCACAGUAAUAAGAUAUCAUGUUCUAUAGCAAUUGCUCACAGUACUCCACAUUGAAUAAAAAUUAACAACAUGCCUUUAAAAAUAAUAAUUCACCGGCUGGGCGCGGUGGCUGACGCCUGUAAUCCCAGCACUUUGGAAGGC